rnacentral:lncRNA from 1 species
GUGCUUAGUGAAAACGUGAUUGAACCUAGCAUGAUAUUCUAUGCGCAUUUACAUUCACAUAAAGCAAAUAAAAUCAUGCUCAAAACACCUUAACGGUGAUAAAAACCACGACAUGCUAAGAACAAAAAAAAAAUUCUUCGCGACCCAUUCGUGGAAUCCUUUUUCUAAUCUAUUAGAUUAAAAAAACAAGGCUCAAAACUAGCCCAAAACUCGAAUUUGGGCCAGAAACACGCCCCCAAAAAAAAAUCGGAUCCAGCCGGCCCAUAAACCGCUCCAGCUGUGAAAUCUGCCCAUUUCAGCCAUCAGGCGGCCCAAGCUUAUGCCAGGCCCCACAUGUCUCCAGCCCUAGAACCAAAAACAGCGGCCCAAAAAAAUCUUGACCUGUUGCAGUUAGGAUUCUGUGCAGCUAGGGUUUCGCGCCGCCAAGAGCGACGCCACAACCCACCACCGCCCGCGCGCCCUCGACUCAUCGCCACCAGCCCCGCCGCCUGCAAUCUCCACCUCAUAACGUCGUCGGUCAAGACCAUGGUGACGCUGGAGCAGCAGCACGGUAGUAAUUUCCAGACGCAAAAAAAAAUUGAAAUCGCGAUGAAGAUCCUCCGCGAUUCAACGUUUCCUUGGCUGUCGACCGCUGCAGUUCUGAGAUUACACGGCCUCGCCGGUGAAAUUGUUGUAUAACAAGGCUGUCGUGCCGGUAAGGAACGCCGGAGCGCCCCCAACCGCCGAUGCCAAGAACAAACAACAUCUGCAGCUCUGCUUCUCGGAACAGAAAAGACUCGUCGGAGGCGCGAUGGCGUGAUGGCGCGUGCCAGUCGCUCUACACGUCGGAAACUGGUGCCGGGCUCCCGCUGGUCGCCCGGAGAUAUAUAAUCUUCGAUUUCCGUUGGGCAGAAGCUCGCCGGAAUCUGGACAGACAGCUCCAGCAAUCUUCGUUCUUCGUGCACAGUACCAUUAUCC